UACGUAGGGUGCGAGCGUUGUCCGGAAUUACUGGGCGUAAAGAGCUCGUAGGUGGUUUGUCGCGUUGUCCGUGAAAACUCACAACUCAAUUGUGGGCGUGCGGGCGAUACGGGCGGACUGGAGUACUGCAGGGGGAGACUGGAAUUCCUGGUGUAGCGGUGGAAUGCGCAGAUAUCAGGAGGAACACCGGUGGCGAAGGCGGGUCUCUGGGCAGUAACUGACGCUGAGGAGCGAAAGCGUGGGGGAGCGAACAGGA
rnacentral:rRNA from 1 species